GGAUAAAGCCAGAAUGAGAGGUGCGUGAUUUUAAAAGAUACUUCCCAGCUUACUUACUAGGUGCUAACUGUGUGGCAAGAUUCUCUGAACAAUCCCAAGAGAACAAAGCAUUGAGCCCCCUAAAAGUCUAAAUGUUAUCAGGGAAAAAAAUAAAAUAUCUAAAAGAAUUGAAAGCAAUGGCCUCUGUAAAGGAGGAUUUGGGGGUGGAGCAGGUGACUGCUUUUCUUUGCUAUAAUGUUAGUACUAUUUAACAUGUUACUUGGAGAAAAAUAAAAUCUAUUUUAAAAAGAAAAAAAGACUGGAAGGAAAUACCAUGACAUGUUAACAGAAGUUCUCUCAGGUGGAGAGAGUGGAAUUACCGGCUAUUUUUAUUUUCUUCUUUAUGCUUCGUAAAUUCACAAAAUAAUCUGUGAUAUAUUUAUGUG